GAAUAUUAAGAGGGAGCUGAUAGCUACGAGUCUAGGCAAAUGCAGUAGUUUUAAGUCUUCAUUUUAAACAU